ACAAUGACUCCCGGCAACGGAUAUCUCGGCUCUUGCAUCGAUGAAGAACGUAGCGAAAUGCGAUACUUGGUGUGAAUUGCAGAAUCCCGUGAACCAUCGAGUCUUUGAACGCAAGUUGCGCCCGAAGCCAUUAGGCCGAGGGCACGCCUGCCUGGGUGUCACAC
rnacentral:rRNA from 1 species